CUAUCUAAGACACUGUUAAAUACUAUAUGAUGUUCUAGCUGUGACAAAGUAUACUGUGUAAUAUGUCUAUAAGCCUAUGUUCACUUCCACUACUCCCAUGUGGCACAUGCAAUGUAAUACUUCAUAUAGAAAGAGUAGAGGUGACUGUUCCCUGAGAAGCAGAAAUGUUGACUAAUACUAGCUGCUGUCACUCACAUGGCUGGUAAGGUUGAAAAUGACAUUGACUCUUAAUACUUUAUACCUUUCCAUACCCCCCCCACCCCCCUCACGCUUAAAUGUUUGCUUUGUUGCUGAGGUAAUAGCAUGUCCCCUUCUUAGGGUUGCCCACCUGAAGUCAGGGCCAUCUCUGAUUCUUGUCUCUUCUUUCUGGCCAUACCCAGCCUUCAAACCAAGGCUGUGGUCUCCAAACAUGGCCUAGGAUUGUUCCUUCUUCUGUGACUCCCGUGGCUGGCUAGCUCCAUCAUCACUGGCUUUCAUUGCUGGUGACUUCCUCCCUGUCUUUUAAACCCUUCCUCACACGGAACCACAGUGAUCUUUAAAGGAAGUGAAUCAGGUUAGGCAACUUAGCUGUGAAGCUCUCAUUAACCUUUCCCACCUGUUAAGAUACAAUCCAGAUGCCUCAGGCUGGCCCAUCACUCACCUGUCCUGCUCCGUUCAUUCUAUUCCUGCACACUGGAGACUCUUCCACUCUCAGCUGUGCUCUGCUCAACCCACCCCAGCACCUUUGCACUCAUCACACCCCUUUACCUUCCCAUACAAGACACAUGGGCCAUUUGCCCUCUCUAUUCCCGACUGCUCAAGCACCACUCUAUCAGGGUGGACCUUCCUGACCACAAAGCGCUCACUUCUGCCAUUACCCUGUCUCCUUACCAUAUGCCAUCCUGCUCUAUAUACUUUAAGCAUUUACAGUCUUUAAGUGAAAAAGAGGCCCCAGGGCAUCCAAAACAGUCAUAGCCGUAGUUAGCAAUAAUAAUAGGCAUGGUGGUACGUGCCUAUAAUCCCAGAAUGCAAGAGGUGGAGGCAGGAGAAUUGUAAGUUCCAUAUCAGCAUGAGCUAUGGAAUGAGGCUCCAUCUCAUGGAAUGAGGAAGAUAGUAAUAAUUAUAAAUGAUUUUAUUACUGUGAUUACUGCUGUGUGAAUUUUAGAUCUUCCCAUGAGACAAGGUUCAGACACUGAGAGCUCAUAGAGCCCAAGGUCUGUGCCAGGCAUGUGUUGAGGCUUUUCUGUGUUUUUGACAGUCUCACUCUAUUCCCCCAUAUGACCUUGGAUUCAAAAUCCUUUUCUCUAAUCCCCCCUGCAAGUGCUGGGGUUUCAGGUGUGCACCAUUGCAGUCAUUUGAAUGAGAAUGGUCCCCACGGUAUCAUAUGUUAGAUACUUGGUUCCCAUCUGGUGGAACUGUUUGGGAAGGAUUAGGCGGUGUGGCCUCUCUGGAGAGCUGUGUAAGCAAGGCUCUGAGUCGUCAGAAGUCCACACAUUCUCAGUUAGCUCUGCCUUAGGCUUGUGGAUCAAGAUGUGAGCUCUCACCUGCUGCUCCAGCGGCCCGAUGCCAAGCCUUUGUUCUGCCAUCAUGGACGCCAACCCUCCGAAGUGUCCAGCCAGGGAUUCCCUCACUAGGAUGUUGGCACCAUGCUGUUAGAGAUCCUCCAAUCACCAGCAUCAUGUGCCAGAUGCUCCCAUCUUUUGAAGACUUGAGAGAUCCACUUGGCUUCCCAGAAACCACACAGUGCCUACACAGCAAAUGGAGCACCUCAGACCGGAGAGUGGCAGUGCAUUUGUAUCUUAAGUGCCUUGACUCCAACGUUUGACAUCCCAGCAGGCUUGGACACUCCUAAGCACCAGAUCUUGUUUCUACGUGUCUGCCGCCAUCAGGAGUUUGAAGAAAUGACUGAUUGUAGGAUUUGGUUGGAAAGGGACAGAGGACACACCAAGGAAGCAUCUUCCCAUCCCAAAGCUUGUAGCAUCUGCAUGAGCCACACACUCAUGCGUACACAUAGGCAGGCUGUGUCACGGAGAUUCAGAUACCACUUUUGUGCUGGCUAGUUUUAUGCCAACUUGACACAAGCUAGAGUUACCUGAAAGGAGAAAAUCUGAAUUGAAAAGAUGCUUCCCUAAGAUCCAACUUAGGGCAUUUUCUUAGUGAUGGAUGGGGGAGGACCCAGCCCAUUGUGGGUGGUGCCAUG